GAUUAAAAAGAGAAAAAGAAAAUAAAACAAAAUGAACCACAAGAGAGGAUUAAAGCAAGAAGAACAAAUUUCAGUUCUGUUGCAGUGGGACCCAGAAAGUCCAGACAAGUCUCAGAUAUGAGCUUGUAUAAAGCCAUUAAUUCAGUGAUAAGGGACAGCCCGUGGCUCUGUGAGGGUGUGAACCAGAGGGAUUCUCACAGGGGGAGGGCUGGGAUAAAAUAAAAACCCUUUAUUUCACAUCUGCAACAUGCAACCACUGCUUGCAAGUGCUGAGCCUGAUCUCCAGCUAGUGUGGAGCAGCGUGAGGCUCAAAGGGACCAUUUCUCUGCUUCCCACCAGGUCCUGUUGCCUCUUUGUGUCUCCCCAGGUCCUGGAGGCACCUCAGCAGGAGGAUGAGCUUUUGUGCAUGGUGAGUGCAGCACCCUGGGGCACAGAGCCCUUCACAGCACCCCUGGGACCACCCCAGGCCAGGCUGGACGGGGCUCUGAGCAACCUGGUCUGGCUGGAAACGUCCCUGCUCAUGGCAGGGGGUGACCUUCAAAGGUCCCUCCCCACCCAGCCCAUUCCAUCAUUCCACAAUUCUACAAUUCCAUCAUAUCUGUUGUGCCUCUCUCCCCUCCAGCACCACAUUCCCCCCCUGGAGGCUUUUGAAAACUCUUCUGGGGACAGGCCCCAAAAAUGAGGGGCAGGGAACUCAAAUCAUUCUUGAAAACCAAGCCCCACGUUUUGGGCCAUGUCACCCCAAAACCAAAAAGCAAAACCAAAAGCUACCAGCAAACCUCGAACGUGCCUUGAAGCCAUGGGGGGAUUGAAAAGAAUUUGGUGAUUUCAGUGAGACUGAAUGAUUUUCUCUCGUCCAGCUGGUUUCCUGCUGCCACCUCACUUGUCACCUUGAUACUCUACCCUCUCCUCUUGCUGGCCCUUUACACCAUGCUCAGCAGGAAAAUUGGUAAUUAAAAAAUGGCUUUCCCUGGUGAUUUCCUGGUUUGGGGUGGGGUGUGGGAUGGGAAAGGGGCAGGGCAGGGCAGGGCUGGGCUGGCUGGGAGCUGUGGUGACAUGGGUGACAUGGCUGUACACAUCGGUGAGCUUUGUACAACCUUGUGCUGCUUCAAAACUGUUUGCUUUUAUUGCUCUUUUAGUAAAGUGCUGGGGAAAUACCAAAAGUCAGCUCACAGAGUAUUAAUUCAGAUGAAGCUGCAAUUUCUAGCAGGGAAUUCUUUCACACCAACUGCUGGUCACAUUUGCACAGAGCCUGGCUCUGCUUUGGGUCAAAAUCACUCCAAACUUGCAAGAAGAGGCCCUGACCCUGUGAUUUGUCACUGGAGCCUCUCCUGGCAGGAGAACAGGGCCCUGGAUGGUCUCAGUGAUUGAAUUGAUGGAUAUGAGCCUGCUCCAGAGCACAGCAAUCAUUAUUUUGGGGAAGGCUGGUUUGCCCUGGGGCUGCUGGAGCAGGGUGGGGUGUGCUGGGCACAGCAGGCAGCAGGGCUCACUCUCCUCUUGCUCCCAGCCCAGCAUUCCUGCAGGAUGCAGGGGAGCAGCAGCCCUGGGGAGCAUCUCAGCCCUCACCCCAGCCCAGCUCCAGCACCGGGAGGGGACACGGCACAAAAACACCCCGGGCCACAAAAACCAUCACCAGCCUACGCAGGGAGCAGUGAGACAUCUUCAGACACCUCCGAGGACUCGGACAACACUUCCUGCCCUCAGGGCCCUGGCUUAGAGGAAAACAUCAAUUACACAUCCCUGGUGUUCCCAGGGAAAGGCCACGAGCCAGGCUCUGCCCAGGACUACGAGAAUGUGAAGUCUGGGAUGGAUUAUGUCAACGUGGAUCCAAAGAAGAGGAAAACACAUUUCUGGCCCUUCUCCAGCCCCAGGGCAUCCAAGGGUGUGGAGUACACCGAGGUGAAGCUGUGACACUGAUGUGGAGCUGUGACACCAGGGUGAAGCUGCCACACCAGGGUGAAGCUGCCACCCCAGGGUGAAGCUGCCACACCAGGGUGCUGCUGCCCAUAGGCGCCCGAGCCCCCAGCAGCUGCAGAGCUGGCACUGUCCCCUUCCCCUGGGGCACUGCCUGGCACGGGCUGCAGCGCUUCUACCACCCCCACCCACAAAGCUUCCUUGGCUUUUCCUUAAAGCCUCCACUGUUCCUGAGGGCUGUGGGGUGGGGCAGGGGAGGGCUCCUCCCAGCCAGGCUGGAAUCAGCUCUCCACUUCUGUGUCAUGGCCCUUUUUCCCUCGUUUCAUGAAAGCAAAAUGAACAUCCCCCCCUUGCCUCUCAAAAUGGGCAGUUCAGGGAGGGAGAUGGAGUGAUCCUCAAAAGCUACACUGAGCUGGCUGGCAGCUCCUCUCAGUGAUGUUGUUUUGCUCAUCAGCCUCAUAAAAUCAUUUAAAAU
rnacentral:lncRNA from 1 species